GACGGAGGGGGCUAGCGUUGUUCGGAAUUACUGGGCGUAAAGGGCGCGUAGGCGGUUUAGUAAGUUGGAAGUGAAAGCCCGAGGCUUAACCUCGGAAUUGCUUUCAAAACUGCUAAUCUAGAGUGUAGUAGGGGAUGAUGGAAUUCCUAGUGUAGAGGUGAAAUUCUUAGAUAUUAGGAGGAACACCGGUGGCGAAGGCGGUCAUCUGGGCUACAACUGACGCUGAGGCGCGAAAGCGUGGGGAGCAAACAGG
rnacentral:rRNA from 1 species